GAUCUAAAAAGAAAUCAACUAAAAGAUAUAUAUUGUUUAUAUAGAUAAAGCUGAAGCUUAAGAGUUUAACCAAUUCAAAAAAAAAGUGAAGAAGAGAAUACAUCGAAAUUCCAAUUGGAAGUGAAGGGUGUAACGUAGACGCACGCACACAAAGAGACGCACAGAGAAACACCGGCAAAAGCAAAA